ensembl:miRNA
GCGGAACUUGAAGAUAGGUUAUCCGUGUAGCCUUCGCUUUACUUGUGACGAAUCAUACACGGUUCACCUAUUUUUUAGUACCAA